GGUUUUAUCCCAUAAAGAGCUUCGAAUGGAGUCAUUUUAAGACUGGAGUGGUAAUUGGUGUUAUACCACCAUUCGGCGAGGCUCAACCAAUUCUGCAUAACCUCUAUUUUACUGGGGUCUGUGUGUACACCGUUUUCAUCAAUUACAUGACCCAAGUAUUCAACUCUAGUCUGAGCAAAGGAACAUUUUGACUGUUUGGCAAACAACUUGUGUUCACUAAGUAUGUCAAAGACUUUCUUUAGAUGGUUUAAGUGCUCCUCAAGAGUUCUGCUAUAUAUCAAAAUAUCAUCGAAGAAGACUAGAAUAAACUGCCUCAAAUAAGGCUCAAAGAUUUGGUUCAUCAAGGAUUGGAAGGUAGCAGGAGCAUUAGUCAAGCCGAAAGGCAUUACCUUAAAUUCGUAGUGCCCAUGAUGAGUUCGGAAUGCUGUUUUGUAAACAUCUUCCACUCUUACUCGAAUUUGAUGGUAACCGGCUCGCAAGUCGAUUUUGCUGAAGAAUCUUGCUCCGUUUAAUUCAUCCAGUAGAUCAUCUAUGACAGGUAUUGGAAAUUUAUCUUUGACUGUCAUCUCAUUCAAUUGUCUAUAAUCCACGCAAAAACGCCAAGUUCCAUCUUUCUUCUUAACUAACAGGACUGGAGAAGCGAAAGGACUGUGACUACAUUGAAUCACUCCAGUGUUGAGCAUUUCUUUUACCUGUUUUUCUAUUUCCGUUUUCUGAAAAUAGUUGUGGUGAUAAGGUCUGAUGUUAACAGGUUUUGUGUUGGGCAGGAGAUUAAUAGCAUGGUCAUGUGAUCUUUCCGGAGGCAGGGCCGUAGGUGUUGCGAAAAUGGUCUCAUAUUGCUGCAAUAAUGCCUGAACUGGUUCUGCUAUUCCGGUGUUCAACUGAUUUUCCACCGUGGGUUCUGUAAUUUUGAUGGAGAAUAGCUGAGCAGGUAGUAACGCUCCCCCUUCUUUGAUAAGCCUUGUCAUCUUCUUCCCACUCACACAAUGCAGCUCUCCUUGGUCUUGGAUGCCCUGUAGUUUAACCUCAUUCCCAUCUCUGUUGAAAGUAAGAGUCAUGCCCACAAAAUCAAAAAGCAAAGGAUUAUACAUGAUCAUCCAAUCCACUCCUAAUACAAUAUCAUACCCAACCACUGUAAGAACCCGUAAAUCAAAGGCGUACUCCUGUCCCUGCAUAUUCCAUUUCAUUCCCUGACAUACUGUUUGGCUGAGUAUUUGUUCUCCAUUAGCUACUGUGACCGAAAGAGUAGCUGUCGUGACAAUAGCUGCCUGCACUCUCGCAGCUAUCCCAGCAUUCAUGAAACUAUGGGUGCUGCCCGUGUCUAACAAGAUUACCACAGGAACUCCAUGAAUGUUUCCCUUGAUCCUCAGCGUAUUGGGCGAUUUCUGACCUGUUACCGCUGCGAGUGACAGUUCUCCUUUGAGAUUUUCUCCUUCGGUUUCCUCACAGGUAAGUUCUUCUUGAACAAUGUCAUCUAUAUUGGCUUCCAUAGCCAAGAGCGUCUUGUUCUUGCACUGAUGUCCAGGGCUGAACCUAUCACCACAUUUAAAACAUAACCCGGUAGCUUUUCUUUGUUCCCAUGUAUUGGUCUUCCCUCCCGAAUCCUUAUUAGUUUCUUCUUUCGGUUGCAGGAUUGUGGGUUUUGGCGAUGGAAAACUGAUAGGAUAGCUUGACUUCCCCGUAGUAAUCUUACCCGGAAUCAGUUUAUGCCUCCUAAGGACAGCUUCAAACGAUUGCUCCUGAUAUUNN
rnacentral:lncRNA from 1 species